UCAUUGGCAAAUUGCUCCCAGGAUAAGCUUUCCAACCUUGGGUCCACAUAGUUUUUGAACCAUUCCCUUGCCUUCUUGCAUUUCAAUGUGAACCCCGCCAUCUGGAUGGCUCUACUAUUACUUGCUCCCAACUCAUCAGUUAUCAUCUUCACCGUUCUGAGGUACUCAAAAGGGUCAUCACCUGAUUCAAACUUGGGGGCAUCCAAUUUAAGG
rnacentral:lncRNA from 1 species